CGCUUUAUAGGAAAUUAUUGAUUAGGCGAACAUCUAAAUCUAUUUUUUGAACGUUUAUGCCAAUUUUUUAAAAAAAUUAUUGAAGAAAAAUAGUCUUUUAGAUUCGACGCCUAGACCGAUUUUUAGAAUCCUAGGAAAAAUGUUGUUUGGUUUUGUGAUGAAUCUUUGAGACUACAAUGUGUUUCUGCUAUAUGUGUGUUUGGUAAUUAGACGCUUUAUAAGAAAUUAUUGAUUAGGCGGGCAUCUAAUCUAUGUUUUGAAUGUUUAUACCGAUUUUUAAAAAAAAUUAUUAAAUUAAAAUAGUUUGUUUUAGAUUCGAUUUGCUGCCUAGACCGAUUUUUAGAACCCUAUGAAAAAUGUUGUUUGGUUUUGUGAUGAAUCUUUGAGACUACAAUGUGUUUCUGUUCUGUGUGUUUGGACCAAGUUUGUGAAACCCUAAGACUUU
rnacentral:lncRNA from 1 species